GAUGAAGAACGUAGCGAAAUGCGAUACUUGGUGUGAAUUGCAGAAUCCCGCGAAUCAUCGAGUUUUUGAACGCAAGUUGCGCCCGAAGCCAUUCGGCCGAGGGCACGUCUGCCUGGGUGUCACGCAUCGUUGCCCCCCCAAACUCCGGUUUGGGCGGGGCGGAAGUUGGCCUCCCGUGCGUGCCUGCGCGCGCGGUUAGCCCAAAAGCGAGUCCUCGGCGACGAGCGCCACGACAAUCGGUGGUUUUUUUACCCUCGUUCCUCGUCGUGCGUGUCCCGUCGCCCGAACGCGCUCUUGUGACCCUCACGCGUCGCCUCAGUGGCGCUCCCAACGCGACCCCAGGUCAGGCGGGACUACCCGCUGAGUUUAAGCAUAUCAAUAAGCGGAGGA
rnacentral:misc_RNA from 1 species